GCUUAACCAACUGAGCCACCCAGGCGUCCCUCAAAGCAGCUUCUUAAUCUGCCUUAUAGCGUUAGCUCUUCAGUUUUUCUGAUGAGGAGUAAUAGAGAUAAAAGUUAAGAUUCCAACCCUGCCUCUCCUAGCUUUCCUUCAUGAGCAGUGAACAGUGACUCACCUGGAUUCUCUUAGACUUGUUCAGAAGAGGACCCUUGGAAACUCAAAAAGGCAAAUGUAUUUCCAUGAACAUAAGUAAUUAAAAAUACCUCUUUCUGGCUUUGGUAGGAAACUAACUAUGAAUAAUGAUGUGCUGAAAUUUCACAAAGGUAAGGGAAAGGUGGUAGAAAUUGAAACUCAGUCCUUUUAUCCUUUCAGAUUUCUACUAUUAAAAUGGUUGGAUUAAGUGUUCACACUAAUAAGCAAUCCUUGUUUUGCACAAUGGAGUAUACACAGAAUCCUGAUUUGCAACUUCUAUAUCUCUCUCUAUUUACUGGAAGCAUCUACCUCAUAGAACUGACAGUAUUGGUCAGUAUCCUAUCUAACAGGUUGUGGCUUCAUCUGUUGUGAGUUUAUUAAGACAGGUUUUGGCUGGCACGUGACUACCCUCCCUUCCCCCCUACUUGAUCAGAAAAUGUCCUUUAUUCCCCCAACUCAAGUGUAUUCUUUUAUGCCUACAGCUUUUGUAACUGGACACUGAAGAGGAAUUCGGCAUCGUGUUCCUUGUGUCCCCCCACCUGCAAGGACUAUUUCAGUUCCAGCCCCAGUCCAAGUGUGCAGAAUUACCCAAAAGAGGCAAUUCAAAGAUCAGCCUGCCCCGGACAUCACUCUCAAUUUUGAUCUUCACUGGACAACUCUAAAGGGGGUGUGUGCAUCUCAAACUAUUAAGAACAGACUUCAGUUAGGCUUCCCUGGGCUGUGUGGUCCCAAAGUGAAGCUGAGGAGCCACCAGAAAACCUCAGAAGCUUUUCAUCCAGAAGCCUGAGGAAAGCCCUGCCCUUCCUCCAGAGAGGAGGAAGGUCCUUUAACAUGACAGGGCCUGCUGCCUUUCUGAGGCUGUAUUUGGGAAUCCAGGCACACUGUUCCCUCUGCUCUCAGAUCUCAUAAACCCAUCUAUGGAAGGCUGCUGACUUCCCAGGGAAUGUAACUGGAGAAAAUUGUUCCAAGACUUCUCAUCUCUGGGAUAGUGGAAAUAUGCCCUGCCAUUUCUUCCCCUCCUACUCUCCUCUCUCUACCAUCUGUAACCCCCUCAUUUUUCAGCAUGGGAGAUAGGUUUGUUUAUUUCAAUUUUACUAUUAUUAUUUUUUGCCAGUGGAAAGUCCUGCUCUUAUAUGCUCUUACAGACAUUUUGUCCAAAUCUCUUGCUAUGCCAGGAGUCUUUCUUAUUCCUGUAAAGCCAAGCCUUUUGCAACUCCAAAACCAGGAAUAGACUGUUUCCCCCUCUGUUUUCUUCACUAUCACAUGUUUCUCUUUAAAGCAAUGAGCACAGAAUGCCCAGUUGCUUGUUUGGGUGGAGUAAUGAGUAAAGAGAUUGAGGGGGAAGAUACUGGGUGUGGGAUGCGAUCUGUUAAUAUUAUCCUUCUAAACUUAUGGGGAAAAAACAGAAAUAACAAUAAUGAUAAUGAUAAUAAUAGAGCUCUUAGUGCAAACAUUGAUCCCUCUAUCCAGAUGAAAUUGUGUCCUUAGCUCUAAGAAAUAGUGCAUGCUCCUUAGUCUUUCUUUCUACACAAGUCAAGAAGACUUCAGAACUCAGAAGACCUGUUUUAAGUAAGCAAACUGAUGAUGGGACAGGUUGUCUUCUAGGAGGAUUUAUCUUCACUAGAGAUCAGUACUAGAGUGGUUUUGAAAGGUAUGAUUCUGUUAUUCAAGUUUGUUCUAGGAAUAUGACAGUUUACAUAAAACUGUUACUGUGAGAAAUCUAGACACAGUGAGAGGAACAUUUAGUCUUUUACACCCAGAAACCUGUGUAACAGGAAGAAUCACAUUGUAUUUUCUGAGAAUGCAGAGGCAUCUUUAAAGUACCUUUGCAGUUUUAACUUGUGUUGAAAUAUGUUGAUACUAGGGACACCUGGAUGGCUCAGUGGGCUAAAGCCUCUGCCUCUGGUUCAGGUCAUAAUCCCAGGGUCCUGGG